GAUGAACGCUGGCGGCGUGCCUAAUACAUGCAAGUCGAGCGAACAGACGAGGAGCUUGCUCCUCUGACGUUAGCGGCGGACGGGUGAGUAACACGUGGAUAACCUACCUAUAAGACUGGGAUAACUUCGGGAAACCGGAGCUAAUACCGGAUAAUAUUUUGAACCGCAUGGUUCAAAAGUGAAAGACGGUCUUGCUGUCACUUAUAGAUGGAUCCGCGCUGCAUUAGCUAGUUGGUAAGGUAACGGCUUACCAAGGCGACGAUGCGUAGCCGACCUGAGAGGGUGAUCGGCCACACUGGAACUGAGACACGGUCCAGACUCCUACGGGAGGCAGCAGUAGGGAAUCUUCCGCAAUGGGCGAAAGCCUGACGGAGCAACGCCGCGUGAGUGAUGAAGGUCUUCGGAUCGUAAAACUCUGUUAUUAGGGAAGAACAUAUGUGUAAGUAACUAUGCACGUCUUGACGGUACCUAAUCAGAAAGCCACGGCUAACUACGUG
rnacentral:rRNA from 1 species